GGCCACCGUUUCGGCUUUUGUUGGUUUUAGAAGUCCGGAGAUUAUGGGGCCGCGUGCCUUGGGUCGGUGUUUCGUGUCUAAUUUUUGUGGCGCGCACAUUCGGCUCUUCGUGAUGUUUUUUUACAUUCAUUGCGACGCGCGGCUUCCAGGAAUGAAGGAGGGUAGUUCGGGGGAGAACGUACUGGUGCGUCAG
rnacentral:rRNA from 1 species